UGGGCGAAAGCCUGAUGCAGCAACGCCGCGUGAGCGAUGAAGGCCUUUGGGUCGUAAAGCUCUGUCCUUGGGGAAGAAUAAAUGACGGUACCCUUGGAGGAAGCCCCGGCUAACUACGUGCCAGCAGCCGCGGUAAUACGUAGGGGGCAAGCGUUAUCCGGAAUUAUUGGGCGUAAAGAGUGCGUAGGUGGUUUUGUAAGCGCGGGGUGAAAGGCAAUGGCUCAACCAUUGUAAGCCUUGCGAACUGUAAGACUUGAGUGCAGGAGAGGAAAGUGGAAUUCCUAGUGUAGCGGUGAAAUGCGUAGAUAUUAGGAGGAACACCAGUGGCGAAGGCGACUUUCUGGACUGUAACUGACACUGAGGCACGAAAGCGUGGGGAGCAAACAGGAUUAGAUACCCUGGUAGUCCACGCCGUAAACGAUGGAUACUAGGUGUGGGUGAGUCAAUCAUCCGUGCCGCAGUUAACACAAUAAGUAUCCCACCUGGGGAGUACG
rnacentral:rRNA from 1 species